GGAUGAUAAUUUCAUCUUCUCUUUUUUGAUUUUAUAUUUUGGUACACCUAAUUAAUGUGAAAAUGGGUAUAUCCAAAAUGUACACAAAACCGUUAUUGUGAAUACAGGAUUUUCAAUGUAUAUUAAAUAAUUUUGAAAAGAGGGGGCUUUUUAGUCACGAAAGCAGCAUAUGCUCAAGUAAGUUCUUCUAAUCAAAAUUU
rnacentral:sRNA from 18 species